rnacentral:other from 3 species
UGAAUCCUGCCCCUGCGCGUGAUGUGUUGAUGUUUUUAACCCAACACCUUUAAAAAUGGGAACUAGACUUUUAUCCCGAUGUUACAUCGGGAUUCAGAGUGCCCACUUUAUUUACAAGGUUAAAAAACUUUGAUAUACACGGCAGGGGUGGGGCUUUU